rfam:Xenopus tropicalis strain Nigerian Chr04_contig_3360, whole genome shotgun sequence.
GGCGGUAGCUCUGACAACGGAAUCCCAAAAGCAGCUGUUGUGAAAAUGUUCAGCUGCAGUUGGGACCCGUUCACGGAUCUAUUGCCC